rnacentral:rRNA from 1 species
AUACGGAGGAUGCAAGCGUUAUCCGGAUUUAUUGGGUUUAAAGGGUGCGUAGGCGGACAGUCAAGCAGGGGGUGAAAUGCCGGCGCUCAACGCCGGAGCUGCCUUCCGAACUGGCUGUCUGGAGUGGCAGUGACGUUGGAGGAAUGAGUGGUGUAGCGGUGUAAUGCUUAGAUAUCACUCAGAACACCGAUUGCGAAGGCAUCUGACGAACUGCCCACUGACGCUGAGGCACGAAAGCGUGGGGAUCAAACAGGAUUAGAUACCCUGGUAGUCCACGCAGUAAACGAUGAUGACUAACUGCCGGCCCGUUGCGGGUCGGUGGCCAAGCGAAAGCGAUAAGUCAUCCACCUGGGGAGUACGACCGCAAGGUUGAAACUUAAAGGAAUUGACGGGG